UCCAUAAGAUUUCAAUUUUUUAGAUUUCGCUUUUUUUAAUUUCGAUAACAAAUAAUCGAUUCGAUUUAUCGAUAAACCGAUUCGAAUACACACCCCUAGUCGUAACACUAAUAUUUGUAUAAAAUUUCCCAAGUCCCAGUUUGUUGUUAUGAUUGGUUUUGUUUAACAAGAUUUGAGGAGAAUCAGUUAACCAAUUAACAAAUUUUUCAGCGAAAGAAUCCGUAUGAAGUUAUACUAUGUAAAAGUAACGGGAUUUGCAAUACUAAGGGGAGUCCACUAUAAUUUUUUUAAGAAUAUUAUACAAAUUUUUCCUUAUUUUGAUUAUGUCGUCAUGUGUUUUGUUGCAAUUAACAUGUGUUAGAAGGAUUGUCAAGAACAUCAACUCAGGUAUGUUAGGCUAAGCCCUUCCUUCAUUUUGGCAAAAUCUCAUAAUUACAAGUGUUUGAUCAUAAGACAUAAAGAGAAGUCCAUACCGCCAAAUUUAUAAACAUUAUUCUAGUCUCAUAAGUUAUAGUAUUCUCCCCUACCGAGAU
rnacentral:lncRNA from 1 species